CUUCUGUAGCGAAGCAUUAUCUUUGAUUGAUGAGCUUUGGGACGCUAACAAGAAGACAACGAUAGUAAAACGUUCCUCUGUGGCCGGAGCGAAGCAGCGGGCAGACGCCACUGGCGGACGAGGGCGGAGGGCGUCGCCCACAGGAGCCGUAGGACGUAGCGCCUCGGCGUAGUGUCGGCCGAGCGGAGCAUGGAGACGGAGGCGGGGGCGGCGGCCGCCGCGGCCGGCAGCUCGGCCGCCGCGGCCGGCAGCUCCGGCACGCGGG